rnacentral:lncRNA from 1 species
AUUUUCUGGAAAUUAAUAUUUCAGCAUGAUAGUGCAAGAAAAAGUGUGCAGGUUCUAGAGGCUGAGCUUCCAGCUGAAAUGCAAGUUGGUGAACUUGGCCACCUUCCAGAAAAGUGAUGUGUUGUUCGAGCAAGUCAUUAGAUGUCUGCACUUCUGUCUUCUGACCAAUUUACAAUGCUUGGGAGCCUGUUUUCUUCCUUCUGCCGUGGUAGAUCUGUUAACGUCAGUGACUACAGCUACAGGUUGCUUGUGCAGGGCUGGCUGGUGACAAUUUCUAAGGUAAAUGCUGUGGAACAAUACCUUGCAACUAGGCUCCUUUUUUGUGAUCCACCACUGAUUUCUCAGCUGCCUGAGGGGCAGGACAAGCUGGUUCACUUGCCAUCAGCAUGGAUCCCCUGGUGCUGGUUCAUAGGAUGUUACAGACUCAUAUAUCACAAUUUCACUCAGCUUUAUUUUUUGUGGCUUUAUGCAUCCAGGACUGUGUAUACCAAGAUGCUCAUCUUGGCAAGGGACUGA